rnacentral:rRNA from 1 species
CCUACGGGUGGCUGCAGUGAGGAAUAUUGCUCAAUGGGCGCAAGCCUGAAGCAGCGACGCCGCGUGGGCGAUGAAGGUCUUCGGAUCGUAAAGCCCUUUUCUCCGGGACGAGCAAGGACGGUACCGGAGGAAUAAGUGUCGGCUAACUACGUGCCAGCAGCCGCGGUAAAACGUAGGACGCAAGCGUUAUCCGGAAUUACUGGGCGUAAAGCGCGUGUAGGCGGCUAUGUAAGUCACUGUUGAAAGCGCCGGGCUAAACCCGGCGAGGUGCGGUG